rnacentral:lncRNA from 1 species
GAGUUUCAGGAAGGGAAAUUCAUGGAGGAAGUUCACCUCUGGAAGGGUGAGGAGCAAUAAAUAGGGUUGUAGAUGAGCAUGAGAGUGUGGAGCAGAGUCGGCGAGCGCAAGUCGAGCCCAUCAACCUGGACAGCUGUCUCCGUGCUUUCACCGGUGAGGAAGAGCUAGGGGAAGAUGAGAUGUACUACUGUUCCAAGUGUAAGACCCACUGCUUAGCAACAAAGAAGCUGGAUCUCUGGAGGCUUCCACCCUUCCUGAUUAUUCACCUUAAGUGAUUUCAGUUUGUAAAUGAUCAGUGGAUAAAAUCACAGAAAAUUGUCAAAUUUCCUCGGGAAAGUUUUGACCUGAGUGCUUUUUUGGUACCACGAGACCCGGCUCUCUGCCAGCAUCAACCACUCACACCCCAGGGGGAUGAGCUCUCCAAGCCCAGGAUUCUGGCAAGAGAGGUGAAGAAAGUGGAUGUGCAGAGUUUGGCUGGGGAAUAGGACAUGCUCCUGAGCAAAAGCCCAUCCUCACUCAGCGCUAACAUCAGCAGCAG